rnacentral:rRNA from 1 species
GUCUUAUGUACAUGCCUACAUCGUUAAUGCACUAGAUCCCAUUAGAACUCCACAGUUAAGCACACUUGGGAUAGAGUAGUACUACUAUUUUACAUGCCUAUGCUAUUCUAUAAACUUAGACC